rnacentral:rRNA from 1 species
UACGUAGGGGGGCGAGCGUUAUCCGGAUUUACUGGGCGUAAAGCGCGUUAAGGCGGUCGGCAAAGUUGGUUGUGAAAUCUCAGGGCUCAACCCUGAAAUUGCGACCAAUACUGGUCGACUAGAGUGUGAGAGAGGAAGGUGGAAUUCCCGGUGUAGUAGUGAAAUGCGUAGAUAUCGGGAGGAACACCAGUGGCGAAGGCGGCCUUCUGGCUCAUAACUGACGCUGUAGCGCGAAAGCGUGGGGAGCGAACCGG